rnacentral:tRNA from 1 species
ACCAUGGUAAGGCGUAAGUCAUCGGUUCAAAUCCGAUAAAGGGCU